UACGUAGGGGGCAAGCGUUGUCCGGAAUCAUUGGGCGUAAAGAGCGUGUAGGCGGUCCGGUAAGUCAGCUGUGAAAGUCAAGGGCUCAACCCUUGAAAGCCGGUUGAUACUGUCGGGCUAGAGUCCGGAAGAGGCGAGUGGAAUUCCCGGUGUGGCGGUGAAAUGCGCAGAUAUCGGGAGGAACACCAAUGGCGAAGGCAGCUCGCUGGGACGGUACUGACGCUGAGACGCGAAAGCGUGGGGAGCAAACAGG
rnacentral:rRNA from 1 species